CAAUAAUUUAAGUUAGAACAACACAUUUUUUUUUUACAUCAGCACAAUGGACGACAAUGGAGACAGAUAUUACAAAAUUGGAGAUAUCGUCUUUGAUCUUAAUCCAGGAAUGAGAUAAUUGAACUUAAUUAAACAUUUUCUUUGGCCUCUCCUCUUUACAGCCAGCGUGAUUAAAAUAUUGUUCACUGGCUUAAUGAAUUAAAGUUUGUGAUAAGGUAAAAUAGUGAUUUUAAAUGUUGAAAUUAUCGAUUUUACAGUGCUUGAGUCUUGUAAGUUCAGAAAUUUAUUCGCAACAAUACGCUUAGUUCAUAAAUCCAGAUUAUUUGUUACCUUAAUCAAACACACCCCAACACAAAUCCUAGAUCUGGCCAUCAGGUUAUUGUCACAAAUUAUUUGAUCAUUCAACACCGGGGAACACACUGUAUUCUCCAGUUUAUGGGCAUGGAAAGAAUGUUGCAACCGCCUCCCGAGGGGAAAAAUGAUGUACAACAGAAGUGCCUCAUCGCAACCAAAGGGAAGAGGUUGAGACGGAUAUCAAGAGAAAGAUAAUAAUAUCCUACCACUCUCAACUUCUCAUACUCAGAUGAUGGUGAACAAUGUAAACGUUUAGUUAAGAAACUUUUAGUAAAAGGUUCCAAUGUCACGGGAUAUAAGUUUGGAUUCUUGUUUUAUCUUAUGUGCAAGAUAGUUUUUAUGUCCCGUGAAAUUGGAACGGGUAUAACAUUGGCUGGAAGUAUGAUCAGGAUCUACAAUACAAAGGAAGAGAAGGAAGUAUCACCUAUUAGCGUUUGUCUAACAGAAUGUGGUGCUCUAUCACAAAUGGUUAAUAGAGAGACGGUCAUUGUAGAUGAAAUUGG